CAGCGAUUAGCUUACAUCAAUUGUUUACAUUGUGCUCACACCUAACCUGCGAACGGGCGUAGUUUGGCCUCGUGCAAGUCGAGUACUCGUGUUAUUCUUUGGAAUAUUUUGGCUUCAAAAAUAUCUUGAUUUUAUCUUGAAUUGGCUGUCUUGUUUUCACCAUUCUACUUGUGAUAUUAUUCCAAAGUUAUCUAUCAACAUGGAAACUUGUCCUCAUCUGGUAAGUAGCCAAAUACCACAUAUUUUAUUAUAUACAUUUUAUAUACAGUAUAAAAACAAUCAUUGUGUAAUAUUUUAAACAUCAAAACUCUGGCUGCAGGCAUUAUAUUGCCAAUUAACAAUAUCACAAGAAACUAAUGUUCUCAGGAGAUAUUGAAUUAAAUCCUGGUCCUGUAUUUCUGUAACUCUGUUCAAAACAACAGUCCAACUAAGUUGUCAUCAAAUGUAGUGUUAGAGCAAAGGUAAAGAUGUCAUCAGUUAAAAUUAUACUUACUAUAUACAUUUUCAAGUUUUACACAAUAGGGUUAAUUAAACAAAAUUGUUACAAC